GAUGAACGCUGGCGGCGUGCCUAAUACAUGCAAGUCGAGCGAACAGAUGAGGAGCUUGCUCCUCUGACGUUAGCGGCGGACGGGUGAGUAACACGUGGAUAACCUACCUAUAAGACUGGGAUAACUUCGGGAAACCGGAGCUAAUACCGGAUAAUAUAUUGAACCGCAUGGUUCAAUAGUGAAAGACGGUUUUGCUGUCACUUAUAGAUGGUUCCGCGCCGCAUUAGCUAGUUGGUAAGGUAACGGCUUACCAAGGCAACGAUGCGUAGCCGACCUGAGAGGGUGAUCGGACACACUGGAACUGAGACACGGUCCAGACUCCUACGGGAGGCAGCAGAAGGGAAUCUUACGCAAUGGGCGAAAGCCUGACGGAGCAACGCCGCGUGAGUGAUGAAGGUCUUCGGAUCGUAAAACUCUGUUAUUAGGGAAGAACAAAUGUGUAAGUAACUAUGCACGUCUUGACGGUACCUAAUCAGAAAGCCACGGCUAACUACGUG
rnacentral:rRNA from 1 species